rnacentral:lncRNA from 13 species
CUCCCAAAGCCUUGCUUACCUCUUUCUUUUAAAAAAUUAUAAGAUGGAGAAUUUUCUUUGCAUUGGAAUAAAAAAAAAAACAAAAUUGUAGGAACUUUGUUGUUCACAGCUGUGUCCUUAAUACUCAAGUGCUCAGCAAAAAAUUCUUGAAUAAACAAAUUAAUGAAUAAAUAAGCUAACCUUUAUAUCUCUUCUUUUCUCCUCUUUAUUUUUCUUUAUUAAAAAAAAAGGAGAUUGGAAUCAAUAGAGAAAGUACAUUCCAGGAAGCGAUGAUACAUCUGGGGGCUGUUGAAAGUAGGUGGUAGCUGUAUCACUUAGCUGGAGACCAAGGAGAAGCAGAAUUUCUUUCUUAUUAUCAAGGUGCUAGACCAGUCAGCUUGGAAAUGAUCCAAAACCCGAUUUGGCUUGCAGCUGUAGAACUGGAACCACAAGCCUAUUUGGGGACAUGAGAUUCAGAUGUCGUGGAGAAUUUCAGGAGCAACAAACUCCAGCCUCUGGUGGCCUGGGAAUUGCCAGCAUGGUGAGAGCUGUAGGCUGCUGCCGGCCUCCAGAGACUGGGUCUGGAACCACUGGGACAUGCAAGUUGGCGUCCGCUAGCUUCCUGGGCUGAGACACCAAAAGCUCCGGUUCUGACCCCAAACCUCUUCUGCCUGUGCUCAGCCAAUAAAUCUAUCUGUUAAAGAGAAAUUUAUUCGGAU